rnacentral:rRNA from 1 species
AGAACGAACGCUGGCGGCAGGCCUCAAACAUGCAAGUCUAGGGGGUGUAGCAAUACAUCACCGGCGGACGGGUGCGUAACGCGUGGGAAUGUACCUAUUGGUUCGGAACAACUGAGGGAAACUUCAGCUAAUACCGGAUGAGCCCGAAAGGGGAAAGAUUUCUCGCCAAUAGAUCAGCCCGCGUCCGAUUAGCUAGUUGGUGGGGUUAAAGCCUACCAAGGCGACGAUCGGUAGCUGUUCUGAGAGGAAGAUCAGCCACACUGGGACUGAGACACGGCCCAGACUCCUACGGGAGGCAGCAGUUGGGAAUCUUGGACAAUGGGGGAAACCCUGAUCCAGCCAUGCCGCGUGAGUGAUGAAGGCCUUCGGGUUGUAAAACUCUUUCGACGGGGACGAUAAUGACGGUACCCGUAGAAGAAGCUCCGGCUAACUUCGUGCCAGCAGCCGC